rnacentral:tRNA from 1 species
GACGGUGGCUCAGUUGGCAGAGUGCCUGCCUCAUGUGUAUGAAGCCCUGGGUUCCAUCCCCAGCACUGUCU